rnacentral:rRNA from 2 species
GCGUGCGAUCAUACCAGCACUAAUGCACCGGAUCCCAUCAGAACUCCGCAGUUAAGGGUUGUUUUUCGUCCCUUUAUUUAUUCCCAAUGCCGAAGCCAUAUAUACAUUCAUCGCGCAAU